rnacentral:tRNA from 1 species
UUCCUGGUGGUUCAGUGGUUUAGACAUGGCACUCCUAAGGCAGAGAUCCCAGGUUCAAUCCCUGGUCAGGGAA